rnacentral:rRNA from 1 species
GAGUUUGAUCAUGGCUCAGGAUGAACGCUAGCGGCAGGCCUAAUACAUGCAAGACGAACGGUAACUGGAGUAGCAAUACUUCGGCUAGAGUGUCGUAAGGGUGCGUAACAAGGUAUGCAAUCUGCCCUGUACCAGGAGAAUAGCUCCCCGAAAGGGGAAUUAACACUUCCAUAAGAUCGCACGAGGGCAUCCGAGAGCGAUUAAAACUGAGGUGGUACAGGAUGAGCAUGCAUCUGAUUAGUUAGUUGGUGGUGUAACGGACCACCAAGACGAUGAUCAGUAGGGAACUGAGAGGUUGAUCCCCCGCACUGGCACGUGUAGAUACGGGCCAGAACUCCUACGGGAGGCAGCAGUGGGAAUUUUGGGACAAUGGGGGCAACCCUGAUCCAGCCAUUCCGCGUGAGUGAAGAAGGCC